UACGUAGGGGGCGAGCGUUGUUCGGAAUUACUGGGCGUAAAGGGCGCGCAGGCGGCCCUUGAAGUCAGGCGUGAAAGCCCCGGGCUCAACCUGGGAGGUGCGCUUGAUACUCGAGGGCUUGAGUGCGGGAGAGGAGAGUGGAAUUCCCAGUGUAGAGGUGAAAUUCGUAGAUAUUGGGAAGAACACCGGUGGCGAAGGCGGCUCUCUGGACCGUAACUGACACUGAGGCACGAAAGCGUGGGGAGCGAACAGG
rnacentral:rRNA from 1 species